CAAAACGGCAUAGCCUUCAGUCGUUCGUAACGCAAAAGGGGAAAAAUGGCGGGUUACAAUAGGGUUUAGAGCAACUGCAAGUUUCCGAAUCCUGAUCAGAGUGAGUCUACGAUGAAAAGUCUGUAAAUUGCAAGCAGCAGCAUUCCUCUGCCCUAACAGAUAUUGAAAAAAGGAUCGUGUUUUUAGUUAUUGUAGUCUUGAAGAAGCUGCUAGUGGUUGCUUCUUCAAUGGAGUCACUAUUAGGAUUCGAGGAGGAAACUCUAGUCGUUGAUGCUGACGACCAACUGAAAUCAUCAUCAUCGAAUAGCUACAAGUUGGUGCCUUGGUUGAACUGUGAUGUUUGGUGAUACCGGGAAUCAGCUACAACUUAGUGCACUCGUAAUUAUCAUACCCGACCGGUCUGCUCGUAUGAUCUUCCCACCGUUAGUCCUGUCCGCAGUCCGGGUAUAUGGACGCAGUGUCUACCGACUUAGGUGUAUUCUAUAUUUCCCAAUUUUCUGAUUCUCCAGACAAGAUAGUCUCUGCCAUUAAAAGGAAAUUGGUUUUCUGCUUUAGAUAUCGACAUGGCGAAGCAGAGGAUGCCUACCUAUUGUGAUUGAUGUCACAGCUUCAAUCAUCGAAAUUCAGCAAUAGGAUCCUUUCUAUAGGUAAUUUCUUUAUUCCCAAUUUGGCAAAGUUAGGUUCUUUGUAGGUUCACUUUUAAGAAGAUUUUCUUUCUUCAAGAAGCCCAAAUUCGAGCAGAACUAAAUAAAUAAAUGAGAAGGCAAUUGCUCUUUAAAACAGAAAGGACCUAUCAAGAGAUGCUAUACAUUCAGAGCAAAUGCUUGCCAUGCUAUAUCGCAUGGCUAUCCUGAGGCUUGUGAACUGCGUUGUUGAGAAGACCCGGAAAAAACUGUAAUUUCAAUUGCCGAGGCAGCUGCUAUUGGUAUUCCUCAUACACUGAUUGACAUUUGCCAUGGCAAUUUAUUGGUUGAAAUCUUAUUAUUGGAAGCCUCAGGGCUCAGAUAGAACAGAUUUCAUUCCAGAGAGGUGGAACUGCUACAAUAGGAAAGAAAUCAAAUCAAAACUCCAGGAAUUGGCAUCAUGCUUGACAGCUAGGCAGAGUCCCCAAGUUGGUUCUUCACUAAUCAAAGGAAAAUGUGUGUUGGAACUCUUUCUUUUGCCGUUUCUUUGAUGUUAUGAUUUUCUGUAGCUUAUUUAAAAUUUUGAUGACUUUAUAGGGGAGUUUGCAUUGAGGAUUAAGGGCUAUUGUUUGAUAGAGUCUUGCUUUUCUAACCUUAGUGGCAGUUGCCAUUGAUAAAUAUGUUUAAAGCUUUCAUUUAAUUUAGUAUCACUUCUUGCACCAUUUUAUCCAAAAACUACUCUCUUUUAAAAAUCAGUUUGUGCUUGGUUCAUGGAAAAUAAUAACAUUAUAGCAUUUGAAGUAAAAAAAAAAAAAGAAAAAAAAAAAAGAAGCUGUUAAAAUAGUAGUUCACAUAGUGACAUGGUUUUGGAACUUUCAGUUUAGUUCUCUUUGGAUCUACACAUUAAAGACAAAUGAUGUUUAGGUUGUCAGGUCUACUAGAUAAUCUGAAUCUAUAAUUUUAUACUCAGAUUUUUUUAAACCUUUACAUAGAAUAGGUUAGUUCUUUAAUAGGAACAUCUUGGCCUAAAUCUUGAUAUAAUAUGCUUUUCCCCAGUUUUUUUUUCAUAAAAUCAGAAAAAUCGUGUAUUUUGUAGUGGCUUGUUGAAUACCAUUGGAAUUUCUAAACUGUUUGCUAUUGCCAUUGCAGUCACAGUUUAGCUGUAAACCUUAGAUUUUUUGUGUAAGGGAUAGUACCUGCAUGUGGUAUUAUAUGCUUUAAUUUGACCUUGCAUUUUUUGUUAUGUAAUUUCAACCAGUUUAGGAUUUUGCAAUCUUAUUAAGCAUCAUCUUUGUUGGUUGCAAACAUCGGGAACAGCUUUGUGGCUGUAAUAAGUUUUUUUCACUUAUGGCUAGCAAGCUGUAUUUGUCCAAAUCUGGGGGCACUCAUGGUGAUUAAUCCUCAUGUGGUCUGGAAGAAAGUCGUCAGGGAAGAUCUACUUGCUAUUAAGUCUGGUGUAAGGAUUUUGGUUUAGUCAAUGCUUUAUUUAUAAUUAAGCAUGGCAUUUUCUUU